AUAAGCAGCCAUAUCUCUCUGCAACUCACAACUGGCAACCCACUGAAGCUAAGCAGGUGUGAGCCUGGUCAAUACCUGGAUGAGAGACCUCCUAGGAAAAUCUAAGGUUGCUGCUGGAA
rnacentral:rRNA from 1 species